AAAUUGAAGAGUUUGAUCAUGGCUCAGAUUGAACGCUGGCGGCAGGCCUAACACAUGCAAGUCGAGCGGUAGCACAGAGAGCUUGCUCUCGGGUGACGAGCGGCGGACGGGUGAGUAAUGUCUGGGAAACUGCCUGAUGGAGGGGGAUAACUACUGGAAACGGUAGCUAAUACCGCAUAAUGUCGCAAGACCAAAGUGGGGGACCUUCGGGCCUCAUGCCAUCAGAUGUGCCCAGAUGGGAUUAGCUAGUAGGUGGGGUAACGGCUCACCUAGGCGACGAUCCCUAGCUGGUCUUAGAGGAUGACCAGCCACACUGGAAC
rnacentral:ncRNA from 1 species